rnacentral:rRNA from 1 species
UGGGGAAUAUUGCACAAUGGGGGAAACCCUGAUGCAGCGACGCCGCGUGAGCGAAGAAGGCUUUCGAGUCGUAAAGCUCUGUCCUAUGAGAAGAUAAUGACGGUAUCAUAGGAGGAAGCCCUGGCUAAAUACGUGCCAGCAGCCGCGGUAAUACGUAUGGGGCGAGCGUUGUCCGGAAUUAUUGGGCGUAAAGGGUACGUAGGCGGUUUUUUAAGUCAGGUGUCAAAGCGUGGAGCUUAACUCCAUUAAGCACUUGAAACUGAAAGACUUGAGUGAAGGAGAGGAAAGUGGAAUUCCUAGUGUAGCGGUGAAAUGCGUAGAUAUUUGGAAGAACACCGGUGGCGAAGGCGGCCUUCUGGGCCACGACUGACGCUGAGGCGCGAAAGCUAGGGGAGCGAACAGG